AGAGUUUGAUCCUGGCUCAGGAUGAACGCUGGCGGCGUGCCUAACACAUGCAAGUCGAGCGAUUCUCUUCGGAGAAGAGCGGCGGACGGGUGAGUAACGCGUGGGUAACCUGCCCUGUACACACGGAUAACAUACCGAAAGGUAUGCUAAUACGGGAUAAUAUAUAAGAGUCGCAUGACUUUUAUAUCAAAGAUUUUUCGGUACAGGAUGGACCCGCGUCUGAUUAGCUUGUUGGCGGGGUAACGGCCCACCAAGGCGACGAUCAGUAGCCGACCUGAGAGGGUGAUCGGCCACAUUGGAACUGAGACACGGUCCAAACUCCUACGGGAGGCAGCAGUGGGGAAUAUUGCACAAUGGGCGCAAGCCUGAUGCAGCAACGCCGCGUGAGCGAUGAAGGCCUUCGGGUCGUAAAGCUCUGUCCUCAAGGAAGAUAAUGACGGUACUUGAGGAGGAAGCCCCGGCUAACUACGUGCCAGCAGCCGCGGUAAUACGUAGGGGGCUAGCGUUAUCCGGAUUUACUGGGCGUAAAGGGUGCGUAGGCGGUCUUUCAAGUCAGGAGUUAAAGGCUACGGCUCAACCGUAGUAAGCUCCUGAUACUGUCUGACUUGAGUGCAGGAGAGGAAAGCGGAAUUCCCAGUGUAGCGGUGAAAUGCGUAGAUAUUGGGAGGAACACCAGUAGCGAAGGCGGCUUUCUGGACUGUAACUGACGCUGAGGCACGAAAGCGUGGGGAGCAAACAGGAUUAGAUACCCUGGUAGUCCACGCUGUAAACGAUGAGUACUAGGUGUCGGAGGUUACCCCCUUCGGUGCCGCAGCUAACGCAUAAAGUACUCCGCCUGGGGAGUACGCACGCAAGUGUGAAACUC
rnacentral:rRNA from 1 species